CGAACCUGCCCGAAGGUGGGGGAUAACCCUCCGAAAGGAGGGCUAAUACCGCAUGAUAUCCAAGAGACCCCGGCUUUUUGAUCAAAGCUAGCCUCUACAUGUAAGCUAGCGCCAUCGGAGGGGCUCGCGGCCCAUUAGCUUGAUGGUGAGGUAACGGCUCACCAUGGCUACGAUGGGUGGCCGGCCUGAGAGGGCGAUCGGCCACACUGGAACUGAGACACGGUCCAG
rnacentral:rRNA from 1 species